UCAUUUGUUGCAGCUGUAGGAUG
rnacentral:snRNA from 1 species